UGACCACAGGGUGACCACAGAGUGACCACAGUGGCCACAGGGUGGUCAAUGGUCAGCAGAUGGUCAGCAGAUGGGCAGCAGAAGGUCCAUGGAUGGUCAGCAGGAAGUCCAUGGAUGGUCAGCAGGAGGUCAGUGGCCAGAGGGUGGUCAGCAGAUGGUCAGCAGGGGGUCCAUGGGUGGUCAGCAGGAGGUCAG